CUCAUCCUGUUCUCUGUUAUUCCAAACUCCGCCUUUUCACCGUCCUAAUGUAACAUUUUAAUGUUACAGGGGACAUGCCUCUCCGAGCCCGCCCCAGCUCCCAAUGCCUUCCCUGAAGCUCUUGCCGAAGCGUUUGCCAAAGCCUUACCUCAGGGCGCUGUGACAGACCUGUUGAGCGGCCUGAGUGGUCUGCUACAGGCCCUGCUGGGGGGCCUACUAGGCGGCGCCAUGAUGGGCGGCGGUGGCGGUGGCGGUGGAGAUGGCGGUGACGGCGGCGGCACUUGUGGUGGAUGUGGUGGCUGCGGGUGCUUAUGUUGCAUCGAGACGUGCUACUCUCGCGAUGGCAGGCUGACUGGUUUCACUUUGUAGUUGAAUAAAAAAUUGGGACAUGCCUCUCCGAGCCCGCCCCAGCUCCCAAAGCCUUCCCUGAAGCUCUUGCCGAAGCAUUUGCCAAAGCCUUACCUCAAGGCGCGGUGGGCGGUCUGUUGAGCGGCCUCAGUACGCUUCUGCAGAACCUCCUCGCCGCUCUGUUAGGAGGCGGACUUACCUACUAUUACAACGAUUAUCAUAUCGACGAACCUCCAUGCGAUUGUGGAGACUGCGGAUGUGAUUGUUGUGCUAAGAAUUGUCUCGGGGGCUAUUUCGGAGGAGGCUAUCCCUAUACUAUUUAAAUAAAUGCAUUUCACCAA